CACAGUCAUGUGGAGGAGACCUUCUUUAAGACUUGCGGUUAAUACAGUGGGGUGGGGAGACCUCUCGACACUCGAGAGGAAUCAGAUUCAUGGAAGGAGUGCCAAAGUGGAAAGGGCGAUAUUUAGCGUAGAGAAAUCGGGAGAUGCUCGUCGCCAUGGCCACUCUUGGAUACAGAGGAGGUUUGGGAGCUUCACCGAAGACUUUUUGGCUAUCAACCUGAGGAAUGAUGGUAAUAUUAAGCAGUUGGUAAAAAGUAUGGAUGACCAUAAAGCGACGAGGAUCAGAAUCUUGUCAUUGAAUUUGGAGAUGUAGCAAGCUCAGAACUCGUCUUUGCCUUCUUGGAUGGCUAGCAAUGUUGUUGCAAACUUCUGGAGACAUUGGCUACUGAUGAAAUGGAUGGAGUUUAAAUUCUUUUCACCAAUUGCUCGAUAGACAUUUUUAGGCGAGAGGAAGGCGGGAGUACAACUCUUCGACAUUGUCUCUCAGAGUGAUUGGAAAAGCCUAACAUAUGAGAUUAUUUGUACCUGAAGAUAACCACAUGUUCUCCAUAGAGAUAGUACCUCUAUCGAAAGACGCCAGCAUGUUCCUCUUGUAUCAGUUGGAUAAAAGAAGAUUGGUUCUGAA